AUCGAGCUGGGGGGUUCCCUGGUCCCUGGCGAUGGGGCGGGGAGCGCGGCGCCAGGGGAGGAGGCGGGCGCGGCAGCGCGGGCCCCGCCGAGAGGGGACACCUGGCUGAGGCACAGCUGCUGCCCGCCGCGCCGCGCCGCUCCGCUCCACGCGAACCCAGGGCUCCGGUCCCUGCGCGGGCUCGAGAGCUCGCCCCGACCGGGGGUCUUCCUCCUCCGCCGUUGACAGGUGAAUAACAACAAAAUGAAGACCAUAUAAAACAAGCCCCCUACUUAGCCCUGCAAUUCUUACCUUUCUUACCUACUUGAUGAAGAUGUCAUUUGAAUGGUGUACUGCAAGGAAUUAAAUGCUGUUUGUAAAUUAUGCUUUUACCCAGGUUUAAGUUGAUGCCAAAUAAUUCCAAUAUUGAGCAUCUUAAAUCUGUUACUUGGAGUAUGGAUUGAGUUUGGAGCUAACUCAGAGGACUACAGGCAAGUAUUCAGGAGGUAGUCAGAGGGAUAAUCGUAAUAGUUGAACAAUUCAGCUUGCAUACUAUAUUCAACUUCAAGUCUCUUAAGAUCACAUAUAUGUGAAAGUAGAAUUGACAGUUUGAUCAUAGACUAAAUGCCAUAUUUAACAGUAAAGAUUUUCUUCAAUCAAUUAUGUAACCUUUUAAUUGUUAUAGAAUUAGAGGUGUUUUUAAGCCACCAGGUAUCAUUACUGAUAUAUGUUCAGGUUAGCCAUAACUGGAUUAGCAAGAUUAUACUUUAAUAAACUAUGAUUUCUAAGUUAAUGUAUUUAUUUAUUUAGAAGUUGACAUUCUAAAUCAUUUUUUUUUUCCUUUUGCAGGUGGAUAUUACUAUCCCUUAUUCAUGGAAAAAGUUAUAUUCUAAGUGUUGUUUCUCAUUGAGUAUUAGCAAAAAGGAGAAAAAUUAAUGUCCUAAACUUUUGAGAUAGAUUUGGCUCUAGAGCAUUAAAAAUAGAUUUGAAGCAUUUAUAUAGAGAGGACUACAAAUUUAUUUAUUCUACUAUAUUGGCACUGAGGAUCAGCACUGAACAAAACAGAAACUGGAAAGAACAUCACCCUCUGGAAAAGAGAUAUGAGAUAUGCUCCUGGCUCAAAAGGUUUUUCUUUACAUUUAUCUACAAUACAGUUGAUCCCCAAACAACAUGGGUUUGACCUGUGAGAGUCCACUUAAUUUUUUUCAAUAAAUACGUACUACAAUACUACACCAUCUGAGGAUGAGGAACCGCGGGUACAGAGGCAAACUCUAAAGUUACACGUGGAUUUUCAGCUGCAAGGCACUUAUUUUGACAUCACCACUGCCCCCACCAAAAAAAAAAAAAAAUGUGAGAACUGACUAUAUCAUGGGUACCUAGACCAUGUGGAGAAAGGACUGAGACUGGAAGCAGAAAACUCAUUGUCCGUACAGAGCAAAGUGCCAGACAACAGCUCACUCUAGUAAAGGGCGAUAAAUGCCACAUGAGAUGGUCUCCUCAGUUCAAAACUAGUGUCAUAUCUCAAGCUUGUGCCUAUAGGAAAACCCUACACUGGUAUCAGUUAUGAAGUUGCAACUGACUCAUGUGCCUGGUCUGAUGACUUCGACUAUCUUUUCAUGACUCCUAAAUUAUGGAGGCCACGCCAUGCGACUUCUGGGAUGUUAGUUCCCCAACCAAGGAUUGAACCCAUGCCCUCAGCAGUGAAAGCGUGGAGUCCUAACUACUGCACCACCAGGGAAUUCCCAACAAUUUCCCAAGUUUUAUACCAACAAAGAAAGUAGCCAAAUAUAUACCUAGUUACCUACCGCCUCUCUGGUUUUCCACUUCAUUUUCCUACCAUAUUUAUACUUUAAAAUAUACUUUUUAAUUUAUGUAGAAUAAAACUCACUCCUUUCAGUACGCCGUUCUAUGAGUUUUGACAAAGGCACAGUUGUAUAACACCACCACAGAUUUAUUUUUAAGCAAACAUUCAAGAUAUCCACACUUAAGGAAGACUAUGAAAACUGAUCAAUACAACCUUGAGUAGGUAUAUAGCAACAACAGUCUCUGCAAAUGAAAACAGUAACACAACAACCAGAAUAUUAAAAAUGGAAAAGCCAACACUUAUAAAGGAGUCAUAAAAUAGAAGUAAAAGCUAAUAUAUAUGACUUCUCCCUCCUGGAAGCCCUUUUGUUUUUAUAUGAUCAACCCAAAAUGAUUACAAUUGAACAGGUGCUCAUUUUAUUCACUCUUAAAAGGUAAUUUUAAUAAAACCUUUUGGGCUCCCCUGGUGGUGCAGUGGUUAAGUAAUCCACCUGCCAAUGCAGAGGACACGGGUUUGAGCCCUGGUCCGGGAAGAUCCCACAUGCUGCGGAGCAACUAAGCCCGUGCGCCACAACUACUGAAGCCCACGCACCUAGAGCCCAUGCUCUGCAAUAAGAAGCCACCGCAACGAGAAGCCCGCGCACCGCAACAAAGAGUAGCUCCUGCCCGCCGCAACUAGAGAAAGCCUGGGUGCAACAAUGAAGACCCAACGCAGCCAAAAGCGAUCCCGAGGCGCUGGAAGUGAACCCAGGCGUGUUGGGUAGCGGACCAGGUUUUCAGCAGCCCGGACGCGCUGCCCCCGCCGCCCACCCGCACGCCGUUGCUCCCCAUCCCCCCGUUCCGGGGCCUGGCUGCUUUCCGCUGUGCUGCCGGGACUGGAGCGCCGACUGAGCUCUCCGCCAGCCCCCCCGACUCACGCAGGUGCCUGCCCGGCCAGGGCAAGUCCCCACCCCCCUUCCCCGUAAGGACCCGGGCGGCGGGUACUUAUCUCGGACCUCCGGGGCCGCUGGAGGGUACCCGCCGGGAGGCGCGCCGCGGCCAGUCCUCCAGCCGCGGGCACCGCGCGCUAAGAGUCGGAACGGCUGCAAAAUGGAUUCGCGGCGCCGACGGGCCCCGCCCCAAGGCCCUCCUCCGCCGGCACCUCGGUCCGCCUCCGAGGCUAGGCCUCGCCUUUCCCCCGGGGAGGGAGUGGGUGAGGGGAGGCGGAGUCCUUCCGGUAUCUCCAACCGCCACCGAUGACCGCUGCCGGCCGCGGUGCGCCUGGGAGAGGGGAGGGUUGCUGGCUGCUGGCUUCUCUCCUUUCCAGAGGGGCUGCGCGCGCCCGCGAAGCGCCGUUCCCCGGGCGCCGGGAAGGGGACGUGGAUCGCGCAGACCCGCGGGGUCGGCCUGGACCGAGCGCGGGCGACGGGAGGCGGCGUUGUCCCCGGUGGAGCCGCCUGGGAAGAAAGCCGGCGCGCAACAAGAUGGUUGGGUUUGGAUUGUUGUACUUUUUUUUUUGUUCGUUGCAUUUUUAGGAACAAAAAAAAAAGCCCAACCCUUCACACCGCUUCAUCUGCAUCUCUCAGGACCAGAGGCCCGGCCACAGCGGCUUGGGGGGACGGAGACGACUGUCCGCCCCGCACCCCACAACCCGGGGUGGGUGGGGCGGGCGCCCGCGCUGCUCCAGACGCAGCACAAUCAAAAUAGUUAAUUACUGCACCCACCCACACCUUGCAUCUAUGUAUUUCUUUGCACGCUUUAGGCCGAACACUAGCCACCCAAUUCAAGGUUUCUUUUUAGGAAAAACACCACUGCCCUUUUCUUUGGAGAGAAGGAAAAACUCAAGUAUGGCUCUAAAUUAUCAGCCGCUAGCCUGACUCUCUCUUCUGAUGUCCGGCACCCUGUAUAGGGACCUUCUCUAAUUAGCAAACGCAUUAAGCACUUACCAAGGAGCGGUUGCAAGAAGAUUGCAAUGAUGAAAGAAUGGCUUCUCCAAAACUUGCCAUCUUGGGGGAUGUGAAGCAUGGACAAAAAUCACAGAAUAUGCCCUGGGGUUGAGUUCGCCCCCCACCCCCGCCCCACUUGGGGAAGUCUGGGAUUUGGAAGUAGAAUUGGGGGGAAAGGUAUUCAAGGUCUAUUUACAGUACUUGGACCCGGUGACUACUAAUACUAGCUCAAACCCCAUAAAAAGCUCCUCCCCACUCCCUUCUGAGAUGUCCAGUUCCUCACCAUGCCCAGGGUCCCUUAAAUCCAGUUUUGUGUGUGUCUCCCUUAAACCCAAUUUUGCCUUUGAAGAACAGUUCCUAUAUUUAUGUCAUUUUGCCUUCAUAAGAACACUGUGGAAUGGAAAUUAUGAUCUUCAUCCUAUAGAUGAGGAAACGGAUGAAGUGAUUUCUCCAAGGCAAAAAACAAGAGGCAGCGCUGAGACUCUAAAGUCAGGUUCCAGGUACACGGUCUUUCUACAGCACGGUAACUGUCAGUGCCAACGAAAACUGCAGCCCAGUCUCCUACUAAAUAAGUGUUAUUAAAAGAAAAUCAAACUCCUGAUUUGUAGAAACAUUUUGAAUACCCUAAUAUUAAAAUGAUACAAGAGUGAAAGGUUAUUAACUCAUAAAUCAGAAAUUGUCCUAUGUGUACCUGGUUGUUGGUAGAUACUAAUUAAUUAACUUAUAACCAACUAAAUGUAAAACGUUGGUUAAAUCUGCAUAGAAAUCCCUAGAUUGUUAACAAAAAAAUAAACUACUAAGAGACCAUCGUAUAUUAAACUCUCUUACGUGUAGAAAAAUAGGGAAGGAAGAAUAACCUAUUUUCCCUCCCAUGGUCCUAAUAAAACAGCCAAUCAGGGAAUCACCACAUAUAGUGUGACUAGAAAAAGAGAUUAAAACCUGCAUGCAUGGGGCUUCCCUGGUGGUGCAGUGGUUAAGAAUCCGCCUGCCAGUGCAGGAGACACGGGUUCAAGCCCUGGUCCAGGAAGAUCCCACAAGCCGCAGAGCAGCUAAGCCCGUGCACCACAACUACUGAGCCCGUGUGCCACGACUACUGAAGCCUGCACGCCUAGAGCCCGAGCUCCGCAACAAGAGAAGCCGCGGCAAUGAGAAUCCAGCACACUGCAACGAAGUGUAGCCCCUGCUUGCCGCAACCAGAGAAAAGCCUGCACGCAGCAACAAAGACCCAACGCAACCAAAAAUAAAAUAAAUUAAAAAAUUUUAAAAACCUACAUACAUGGAUUAAAACCCACCCACACAGCUACCUCCUUCCUGGAAGAGCACACUAUAACUAGAUCCCAUACCGAGGGACUGUCAAAAUUCUUAUCACACUGGAAUUUCCUUUUAUUGACUGUUCUUCAAAUAAGCAGACUAAGCUUAAGACUGGAAUUCAUAUGUCACCACAGCAGUAAGAUGUAGUCUUAUGUAAGUUUGUCUUUUGUGAAAAACAUAUUUUUACAGGUAGAAUUUCUAAUGUUAUAUAUUUGAAAUAUAUAUAUACACACAUAUACUUAUUUUUGUGAUUUAUUUCAUGGUGUUGUUUUUGUCCUCAGCCUUGACAAAGGUGAAAUCCUCCAGCUUUCCUUCCAUCUACCAAGACGUGAUCAGAUGUUCCAUAACAAAAGGGACAGUGCCAAAUUUGGUGUACACUGAAAUGUAAAUUAUCAGAAUGGGGAACGUCUAAUAAUUAAGACUGGAGCAGUUAUGUGCAGGAGAGGGGUGCUGGUGAGCCUCCUUAGAUAUACUGGAACAUUUCAUUACUAUUCUGUCCUUCCCUUCCCAAUAGCUGCCAGUCAUGAAUGCAAGCCCCGACAUUCCCCAAUGAGAAUUCCUGGCAAUACAAGGCACUGACAUUGCAAGGUGCAGCAAAAAGAGCAGACACUUUGGAAUCAAUUCUGCAUCCAAACUCUAGCUCUGCCAUAUACAAGUUGUUCAAGUUACUAAGCAUCUCUAAGCCUCAGUUUUCUCUUCUGUAAAAUGGGGAUAAUGUUUCACUUGAUUGUGAAAAUCAGAUAACAUACAAAGCAACCAACAUGGUAUCUGACAUAUAGGAGGUACUUAAUAAAUGGUUGCUACUGCUAUAUGGGAGAAGAAAACCAUGCUGGUUUUGAAUAACGGUUGUUUUGGAUUUGUAAUGUGAGGCUCAAGCACAAUAGUCUUAAGCAGAGCUAAACUACCUACGUAGUAGAGGAAGCUAGCACCAUAAUUUCUGCUUUUUUUACACCCAGCCCAGGGUGGCCUUUUAUUUUAUUUUAUAUAUUGAUUUAUGUAUUAAUUUAUUUUUGGCUGCGUUGUGUCUUCAUUGCUGCGUGCAUGCUUUCUCUAGUUGCUGAGAGUGGGGGCUACUCUUUGUUACAUCGCGGUGGCUUCUCUUGUUGAGGAGCAUGGGCUCCAGGCACACGGGCUUCAGUAGUUGUGGCGCGCAGGCUCAGUAGUCGUGGCGCACGGGCUUAGUUCCUCCGCAUCCUGGACCAGGGCUUGAACCCGUGUCCCCUGCAUUGGCAGGCAGAUUCUUAACCACUGCACCACCAGGGAAGUCCCCAGGGUGGCCUUUUAAAAGCAUUUAUCUUUCCACUGCUGUACCUCCUUCCUUGUGCUUAGGGAAAGGAGAGGAAAAGGAAAAAACAUCUCACUUAAUGAAAGGAAGACUCUGCAGUGCUUUUUAAAGCUUUACAAUUUCAGUGAAAUUGUUGGAACAUCCAAAACAUUCCAUUAAAAGGAAAAGAAUCUACCUGUAAAAAUACAUUUAUCACAAAAGACAGAAACUUACCUAAGACUUGAUGAAAUUAAAGGAAUUAGUCCUUGGUUUGAAGAAAAUUACAGGUUGCAUAUAUUUCAGUUGCACAGUGAAGAUCGUGCAUUAGAUGGAGCAAACAGCAAUAUCAGUUAGCUUUGGGAGAGAAUGAGAGAUGCUUAAGCAACAGUAAACUUGGCCUUUAGUUGUGCCGUUUGUUUAGAUGGAAAAAUAAGUUAUAAGAAUAAAAUGUCAGAGGUAAUUAAGAUGAUAUUAACAUAUGCUUAUAAUUAUAUACUCAGGAUUGUGCUAGGCACCAAUGACACUAACUGAGGAAUUUCCCAUUUGGUUGAAGAGAAAAGUCUUAACAGCAUGAACUAGUUCAGUAAUAGUGGCUGUUUAAGAGUCAAUGUGAGGGGUGUGGUGAAGAAAAGAUCAGAGGAAGGCAUGGAAGCAUCACGAAGAUUUCACAGGGGAGGUGGGAGUCAAACAGAAUUAAAGAUCAUAGGAUUUGAAGGUAAGAGGAAGAGCAUUGGAGGUGAGGAACACAAGUUCAGGGUGGGAAUUAGCUUCACUGAUACUGAUACUGAGUCAGGGAAGAGCAUGGCCUAGUUUGGAAAAAAAGUUUGAGGCCAAAUUGUGGAAUGUUUUGAUGUCAGAAUAAAGAGUUGAACUUCAUUCUGUAGGAAAUGGGAAGCCACUGAAUAAUUACGUAUAUGGCACUAACAAGAUGAAAACAGAAUUUUGGGAAGACUAAUCUGAUAACAGGGUCCAAGAUUUAAGGGGGAAGAAAUUUCCUUUAUUUUAAUAGUUUUGAGGUUAUUGAAAAUUAUAGAUUUUUUUAAUGCAGUAAUGUAUAUAAAAGUACAACAUAUGUGCCUAGGUCAAAUUCCAUUGAACCAUUUAAUUUCAAGUGUAUUGUUUACUAAAAUUUUCAAUUUGUAAAUAAAAUGUAAUGAAUGUAGAAAGAAUUAACAAUGACAAAUACUCCUAAAGUCCUAUGAGAGGAAAUUAUGUGUAUAUAUAUAUAUAUAUAUAUCAAUCCUAUAUAAAUUAUCUUAAUAUAAUGAUCUUAACUAUAUUGUAUGACUAAAGUUAGUAUGUUGCUUAAAUAUUAACUACAUUUUAGAGUAUGCCUCACUAGAGCUUUAAAAAUCAUUACAUAUACUCUGAAAUGUAGUGCUCUGUUUUGAUAUUUUUAACAAUGAUUACACUCAAUUAUGUUAAUAAUUUUUUCUCUAAACUUAAUUUCCAUACAUGUAGAAUUUUAUUCUUGAUGAAAGUCACUUUAUGAGGGCCUUAAGAAAUGAUUCAUUCAGGUAAAGACUACUGUUGUAUAAAUAUUUGCAGUUGUUUAAGAGAACUUGAUUUGUAGAAACUGUUUAUUUUGGAAUCUUUGUGUAGCAUUCACUAAUCAUUAUGUGCUCUAGUUUUAUCUUGAAAAAUGUCAGUUAUAAUAAUAAAUUUUAUAAUUUCAAUUUAGAAAACUACUCUCACCCUGCUCUAUGAGACAUUUUUAGAACAUUUCUUCUACAAAUAAAGGUACAACAGUUUUCUAUUAUAGUUUUCAAUAGCUAGUAGAUUCCUGUACUUUCUUUAUCUUAAGUAAAGGCAGUAGUAUAUCUCAUAGAACUUUGGUUCUGAAGGUCUAAAUUUAUCAGAUACCUACCUAUACAGCAUUGCACAAGAAAUCCAUGCUUCUGUUUUUUAACAUGAGUCCAGUUGAGUCUCUCUGAUAUCAAAGCAUGUGGUAAUAAAUGCCUUGUCAAAAA